rnacentral:rRNA from 1 species
UACGUAGGGACCAAGCGUUGUUCGGAUUUACUGGGCGUAAAGGGCGCGUAGGCGGCAAUUCAAGUCAGCUGUGAAAUCUCCGGGCUUAACUCGGAACGGUCAGCUGAUACUGCUUUGCUAGAGUACAGAAGGGGCAAUCGGAAUUCUUGGUGUAGCGGUGAAAUGCGUAGAUAUCAAGAGGAACACCUGAGGUGAAGACGGGUUGCUGGGCUGACACUGACGCUGAGGCGCGAAAGCUAGGGUAGCAAACGGG